UCUUUCUUUGCCAGCUAAGAAGUUUUGCUCACAUUGGAUAAGGAAAAGCACAAAGUGGAGGGUCGAAAAUAUUAUUAUGUGUUCAACAGUCUUCUAUAUUGCUUGCUUGUUCUGCAUAUACUGGUGGGUGCUGAUAUUUCGGAUGCUUGUUAGACAAAUUCAAGCAAAAGGAAAAAUUAGUGAUGAUGUUCGAUCUGAUUCAGAAGAUGAAGAUAGCCAUGAAGAUUGAGAUGGAAAGCAAGACCAUAAUGUAAUCUUAAGGCAAAGAUGAAUUGUCUUAGCUUCGAAAUUCUUAAAUCAA